AUCCUAGCUGUAAACGAUGGGUACUAGGUGUUGGGGUAUCGACCCCUCCAGUGCCGGAGUUAACGCAAUAAGUACCCCGCCUGGGGAGUACGGCCGCAAGGUUGAAACUCAAAGGAAUUGACGGGGGCCCGCACAAGCGGUGGAGUAUGUGGUUUAAUUCGACGCAACGCGAAGAACCUUACCAGGACUUUACAUCGUAUGAUGACUCUAGAGAUAGAGAGUUCUCUUUCGGGAGACAUAUAGACAGGUGGUGCAUGGCUGUCGU
rnacentral:rRNA from 1 species